UGGGGAAUCGUCUAACGGUAGGACAGCGGACUCUGACUCCGCCAGUCUAGGUUCGAAUCCUAGUUCCCCAGCCA
rnacentral:tRNA from 5 species